rnacentral:rRNA from 1 species
UGCAUAUCAAUAAGCGGAGGAAAAGAAACCAACAGGGAUUGCCCCAGUAACGGCGAGUGAAGCGGCAACAGCUCAAAUUUGAAAUCUGGCCCCUAGGGCCCGAGUUGUAAUUUGCAGAGGAUGCUUUUGGCGAGGUGCCUUCCGAGUUCCCUGGAACGGGACGCCAUAGAGGGUGAGAGCCCCGUCUGGUUGGAUGCCGAGCCUCUGUAAAGCUCCUUCGACGAGUCGAGUAGUUUGGGAAUGCUGCUCUAAAUGGGAGGUAUAUGUCUUCUAAAGCUAAAUACCGGCCAGAGACCGAUAGCGCACAAGUAGAGUGAUCGAAAGAUGAAAAGCACUUUGAAAAGAGGGUUAAAUAGUACGUGAAAUUGUUGAAAGGGAAGCACUUAUGACCAGACUUGGACCCGGUGAAUCAUCCAGCGUUCUCGCUGGUGCACUUUGCCGGGCUCAGGCCAGCAUCAGUUUGCCCCGGGGGAUAAAGGCUUUGGGAAUGUGGCUCCCUCGGGAGUGUUAUAGCCCAUUGCACAAUACCCUGGGGCGGACUGAGGUUCGCGCAUCUGCAAGGAUGCUGGCGUAAUGGUCAUCAGUGACCCGUCUUGAAACACGGACC